CUCUCACUGUGAAAAUCACAGUGAGAAGCACGCAAGCGCCUCUAGUGGCUGUCAAUGAGACAGCCACUAGAGGAAAUAGGGGAAGGCUUAACCCAUUGAUAAACAUAGCAGUUUCUCUGAAACUGCUAUGUUUGUGAAAAAAUGGGUUAACCCUAGCUGGACCUGGCACCCAGACCACUUCAUUAAGCUGAAGUGGUCUGGGUGCCUAGAGUGGUCCUUUAAGGU